GUGAGGAAUAUUGGACAAUGGGCGCAAGCCUGAUCCAGCCAUGCCGCGUGCAGGAAGACGCAUCUAUGGUGUGUAAACUGCUUUUGUACGGGAAGAAACACUCCCUCGUGAGGGAGCUUGACGGUACCGUAAGAAUAAGGAUCGGCUAACUCCGUGCCAGCAGCCGCGGUAAUACGGAGGAUCCAAGCGUUAUCCGGAAUCAUUGGGUUUAAAGGGUCCGUAGGCGGUUUAAUAAGUCAGUGGUGAAAUCCCAUCGCUCAACGAUGGAACGGCCCUUGAUACUGUUAGACUUGAAUUACAAGGAAGUAACUAGAAUAUGUAGUGUAGCGGUGAAAUGCUUAGAUAUUACAUGGAAUACCAAUUGCGAAGGCAGGUUACUACUUGUGGAUUGACGCUGAUGGACGAAAGCGUGGGGAGCGAACAGGAUUAGAUACCCGAGUAGUCC
rnacentral:rRNA from 1 species